rnacentral:rRNA from 1 species
UACGUAGGGGGCAAGCGUUAUCCGGAUUUACUGGGUGUAAAGGGAGCGUAGACGGCAGUGCAAGUCUGGAGUGAAAGGCGGGGGCUCAACCCCUGGACUGCUCUGGAAACUGUACGGCUGGAGUGCAGGAGAGGUAAGUGGAAUUCCUAGUGUAGCGGUGAAAUGCGUAGAUAUUAGGAGGAACACCAGUGGCGAAGGCGGCUUACUGGACUGUAACUGACGUUGAGGCUCGAAAGCGUGGGGAGCAAACAGG